CACACACACUCCCAACAUACAUUCCACUAACAUUUCACCGUUACAGAAAUCUACUAGACACAUUGCUUUGCUGAAUGAAACAUUGCAUUUGCCGAUGAUUUCUCCAUAGUGCUCUGCUUAGAGAAUUGAGUGUAUUCGUGAAUCGCGCAGUUAGACGUGUGUUCCAGCUUUAUGUUCCCAGUGUUUGAAUAAUAUUAAUUGUUCGCAGCAAUCUUUUUUACAGUUUUAACACCCUUGUAAACCAGCAAACAUUGGAUAGAUUAGUCUUAGUCAUUACAUUAUAAAUUGGAAAAGAUUACUGAAGAUGAUUGUAGAAGGUCUUUGUUUCAUCGCAAUCAUUUGCUUUGCGAUCUAUCUCAAAAUAAAAUAUCAACGCAGAAAAGAGUGUGCUAACCAAAUUACGAACGAUAGAAACGUUAUAACUAGAAUAGGAAACAGAAUUUGGCAAAGGGAUAACAAUGUAAAUCAGGAAGGAAAUGUUGAAUACAAUGUAGGAAACACAGUAAAUCAGACAAACAAUAGAACA